CACAGCAAGGAAGAACAGCACAAAGGAUGCUCAGAGCAGGAAUGGGGAAGACCACGGUUCUACUGUGCAGGCUGGAAAGAAACUGCAAAGGAAGCCGCUGCCCUCAGAGAGAUGGGAGAAGCUGCAGGAGCCUGUGAUAGCCUGUCUCAGGCCAGUCCCUCCUCCUGGGCUUGUCUGACAGGAAAACUACCAGGGAAAGCACUCUGAGAAGCUAAGAGCGCACCUCUCUGCUAAGUAGCAUUACUCCAUAAUAAUUAACCAGCAUCAAUGUGGCUCAUUCACAAACAGGAAACCCAGGGAAGGGGACAGAGAGUUGACUGUGGAAACCCUCCUCUACUAAUGACAAUGUUCUCUACGGUCAAGGCCUGCCCGUACUCCCAAGACUACAAACUCUGAAUUCCCACAUAGACUGAAACACAUUCAUCAGCCCUAGCAGAUAAUCUCACAGCCUCUGCUUCAGCUUGGUGAACUUCACUCUCCGCUACUUCUGUGCCUCAGAAAUUGCUGGUUUUCUCCCAUGCAAAAGUGGAUCUUCUCAACUGCAGCUCUAAGAAAGAAACUGCAGCCUUCGCUGACAUCUGGGGACAGCAUGUUUACUCACCUGACAAUCACAAUCACAAAUGUGCAUCUGGACAGUGACAUUGGGAAUAUGCCUUUUCCCCUCUGGAACAAAACAUGCUUCCUCCCAUGAAAGUUGGUGACCACAAGCUGUGUCACUAAGUCUUGGCACGCCUUCAGGAAGAAGCCAGGGCUUAGGCCCUGAUAACACGGGUUUACCCACCAGCAUCUAUGUAAAGAACCUGGCCCAUCAUUAUGCAGUCAAGACAAGGGGCCUGUCUCUGAGGAUGGGUUAGCUUCUGAUGGUCCAGGUGGGGCCCUGCAGAGGACUCAAACAAGGAAGCUUUUCCAUGUAAAUUUGAUUGACUUGCUAUUGUUGUUUAUAUACUCUGUCUUCCAUGGAUCCUUUGGGAAGCAGCUAAUGAGACAGCAACCACAGGCCUGAUAAAUUAGUCCCAGAAACUCUAGUUUAAAAACAAGACUGGCUACUCGAUUCCUUCAAAGCAAUCUCUGAAAGCAACGCAGUGAUUCUCAUGGCUGCCUCUGUUGACUACAAAAUGUACUCCGAAAAUUGAAUUUUCUUGGAAUUGCUACACAGGGAAACUCAGGUGUGGAGCCAGUUUAUAGACUGACAGCCGGGAUUCUAGGAAGGAGGUAUGGGAAGAUGCAGAGCAGAGAGCUCAGCAGAUGGGCACCUGCCUUCUUGCCGUACCAAGCACAGAUUUCUGAAUUGCUUUCUGUUCCCCGGGGAGACCCCUGAAAUCCCACUGGGAAAGAGCAGCCCUGGGCAUUAAAGCAGAAGGAGCUAGUGCUGGUCCUCUGCUUAGGGAUUCCCCUACACCACAGGUUGGUUGGGUUCUGGUUGGGGGAUUAUUCAGUCCUGUAGGUCUAACCCAGGGCCUCAUCAAUGCUAAGCAGAAAUUUACUCCAGAGCACACAUUCCCCAGAUAACAGUGCAGUAACAAAGACAGGGUCUCUUCUCAGAACUGGGAGGCACAGCAGUGUAGGGGGACGCCCCCAAUCUGAUUCUGGGAGAGGGUGAAGACAGAGGCUGGGAGGCUGAACCCCACCUGGAGGGACACAGAAGGUAGGAGGACAAAGGAGCAGCAAGCAGAGUGGUACAGCAGUACACAGCCAGUCACAUGUGAGUCUUGUGUCCACAUUGAAGAACUUAUGUUCCCGGACAAACAAUGUCACCUCUCACUUCUACUAGAACCAAACAGGAACAGCAGCUGGCAGUGUGUAUCAGUCGGUUAUGACUCCUCAGGAGUCUGCAGACACGUCCUCAGUUGUCAUUCAGCCACUGUGAUGUUUCCAGUGCAUGCUCACAUUCUAGGCAGGUAAGGUUACGUCACUUGCUGUCUGCAAUUGUUCUUACCCUUGGGGAAAAUACUGCCCCCAAUAAGAAUGUUCUUGAUAUCAAAGCUUCUUAAUAUUUGGGCUGUAAUUCAUAUGAAGACAUGAAAAAUCUGGCAACAGUAAAAGAUUUCUAAACAUAAAAAAAAAAAAAAAACCCAAAAACUAAUUCAAAACCAAGCGUGUACUGCACCCAAGGUGUUUGGGGCAGUACUUGCCUGUGCUGUAUCUAGUGGCUUCUUGGCAGCCUUGGGGUGGCGCACACAGCGCCUGCACUUUGUCCCAUGUGUACAGCCAUGCCAAGUGCCAACAGAUGUCGCUGGAAACCCCUCCACUCAGCUUCUAGGCCGCCACGCCUACAUUAUGAAUUUCUUUACAAUACACACAACGUUGUCUGCUCUUAUAGGAGCACCGGCCUUACUGCAGAGAACGAAGAUUUGAUCUUUCUCCCUCUCAUUUCUAGGGAUGUAAAUAUUCAAUGUGCCUUUUUUUAGGUUUGCUUUUAUCUUUGAUAAAUUGUAAAAUCACAUGUACACCAAAGAACUGCUUUAAAAUAAAUUCCUUCAUAAUUUA